rnacentral:rRNA from 1 species
UCAGAUUGAACGCUGGCGGAAUGCUUUACACAUGCAAGUCGAACGGCAGCACGGGGGCAACCCUGGUGGCGAGUGGCGAACGGGUGAGUAAUACAUCGGAACGUGCCCGAUCGUGGGGGAUAACGUAGCGAAAGCUACGCUAAUACCGCAUACGAUCUACGGAUGAAAGCGGGGGAUCGCAAGACCUCGCGCGAACGGAGCGGCCGAUGGCAGAUUAGGUAGUUGGUGGGGUAAAGGCUCACCAAGCCUGCGAUCUGUAGCUGGUCUGAGAGGACGACCAGCCACACUGGGACUGAGACACGGCCCAGACUCCUACGGGAGGCAGCAGUGGGGAAUUUUGGACAAUGGGCGAAAGCCUGAUCCAGCCAUUCCGCGUGCAGGAUGAAGGCCUUCGGGUUGUAAACUGCUUUUGUACGGAACGAAACGGCCUUUUCUAAUACAGAGGGCUAAUGACGGUACCGU